UUUAUGGACCAUUUGGAGUACAAUACUCCAAACAUUAUUCAUAGUUGGUAAAAGUUUAUCGUUUGGACAAAUGUUUGACCAAAAAAUUUGUCCUUCGAAUAACUUGGACAUAUUUUUUUGUGAAAAAUCUGUCCUUUGGACAGAUUGGUAAUAAUUCAAAGUCUUCGCGACGGUCUUUCUUUCACUUAGAAAGAAAACAAACACUCUAACAUUCCAGCCAUCAUCCUUUACAUCCUAAGAAAACACAAGUUAAGAGAGAAAGAGAGAGGUGUUGGAGCGUGCAAAAUACUAAAGAUUUUUUCCGGAUAGUUUCCUUUUAAGGUCUUGUUGGUUUGGAGGAAACAACUUGUAUCUUUGUCUUUGGUUUCAAGUUUCUAGGUUUCUGUUUGUUAUGAGUUUGCUGAUGCCCGCUCCUCCUUUUCUAUUCCUGCAGUCUAGGUACGAUAUGAAUGGAAUGAGGAAGACUUGAUUAUAUUUGCUUUUGCGUCUUAUUCUAUCUCUUGGUUGUUAAAAGUAAAUGUUAGAAUUUGAAAUCUUUUAUGUUUGAUUUCAAGUAGGUAAUGAAGUAAUAAUCUUCUGUAUGUAGUUGGGUCUUUAUUUUUACAUGUGAUAUAUGAGAUUUAGAAUUCCUGUAUACGGUCUAUAUUUUUUUUUAGCUAAAUUUGGUUCUGAUUUUGGUAAAGCUUAAAAAAUGAUAUUCUAUUACUUGUUAGGUCCACUGUUCACAUUUGCUAGAAAAGUGUUCUAUUAAUUUAAAGAUCAUUCUUUCUGAAGGUAUGA
rnacentral:lncRNA from 1 species